UAUGGAUGAGCGAUGGAUCUCUAGGCUCUGUGCAUCGUUGAAGGUCGCAGCGAAUUGCGUCAUAGUGGUCCGUGUGAAUUGCAAGUCACAUUGGCCCUUACCGGCUGUGGAACACCUUACUUACCUAACACUCACACACGCCGUGCCACGCUUAACUGCAUUAAGGCACGGCGUGCCUGGCUGAGUAUGC
rnacentral:rRNA from 1 species